rnacentral:lncRNA from 1 species
UUUAAAAAUAAUUUAUUAAAUUUGAAGAUAUGUUUACUUGAAUAAAAUGAUUGUAUUCGAUAAAAACGAAAAGAAUUUUUUAUUUACAGGAAACACAUAUUUUUUAAUUUGUCAUAUAUUAUAUAGAAGACGUGAACGUCUCACGCGUGAAUAGGUGAUUUCAAUCUACUACGAGGUAGUAAAUUUUUUGUGAGCAAGAUGCACCUACUGGGUGAAUAAAAGGGGCUCACUGAUAGUUCAAACAAAUAAAAUUGCGCUCGACAUUUAGUAUGGCGAACUGAGUCCUCAGUCUACACUGAGAAAAAAGAUACUUAAAAAAAAUUUUAAUUUUAGUAAAUCAUGUGUUUGCAUAAAACUGUGCAUGCAUUUUUUUUUAAUUUAGAAGUGGUUUUUUGAAGAAUAUAAAUCUCCUAUUAAGUAAAUUAUUUCUCAUAUUUUUUGGACUUCUCUGGACUUCUUCAUCACUACUACAUAUAUUUACAUUAAAAUAAUUACAAUUUAUUUUAAUAUUUUGACAAUAUCUAAAUGUCAAAUUAUUUAGAUGAAGCAGAUUAUGUUUUUUCAGUAAAUAUAAAUCGGAAGUUAAGCGAUACUUCUUCUACGGGUAAAAGUUACCAAAACAAAACUAUCAGUUUAGUGAUUAACCAUGAAUAAAAAAUGGAAUUUUUAUUUUAAUCUGAGAUUAAAUCCAAUUUUCAGAUUAACUAUAUUACAGAAUGAAAAAUAGGGCUAUAGAGGAAUAGCUGCCACUUUCUUAGCGAUUAUCUAUUAAUGUAGCGAUUAUCUUUUAAUUUCAGCUAAGGAUCUAAGCAGAAAGAUUGCCGUAAUAAACAUAGUCGUAAUCGUAGUCAUAAAUCAACUCACAGAGAUCGAUAUUACUAUGACUAUUAUGGCAGUCUUUCUGCUUAGCUCUAAUAAAUUUAUAUCUUGUAGCACAUGCAUGUAUUUUAAUUUUAGUAGUCAACUUCUAGCAAUAUGAGAGGAAAUCAAUUAUUACUAUUUAGCUGAUAUUACUAACAAUAAAUCACUUCUUUGGGUGUAUGUGAAAUCCCGAAUUGGGGAAUAUCUCUAGUUAAUACCUUAUCCCGAGCAAGGGAAUAUUGCAGAUGUGCGUACAUCCACAUAUUGCGCCGCGACGCUUCCGGCCUGACGUCACAUCCGCCUGCCUAAGCGUAACGGGUUGUAUUCGUCCGCGUUGUUACCGUACGGACGGACGUGGCAGCAGUACCACCACCACCGUCACAAUGUUAUGCCCGAUUAACGUGGAAACGGACAAAGCCCUCAGCUUUCAUGUAGAGCGCCGUGUCCGACAUGCCGUUAAUCGCUGACUUUAAUAAGCACGCCCGGAGAGCUUGCAAGGACCCGGUCGGUCCGCGAUGACAAUCGAUCGCCCCGGUGCACGGCGUGGGCGCCGUCAUUGUAACGCUUCCGAGCGAAGUUGCACAAUGAAUCCCGCAACUUCGGUUUAACUAUAACAGUGUAAGCUUAGUAGGUUGAGAUAAAGGGCCAAAUUAUUAUUAUCGGAGAAAUCAAGGAUCACCUGCUCGAUCUACGAGCAAAUUCUUUCGAUCCCUUUUAUAUGCAUUCAAUUCUACACACAGAAAAACACAUUAAAAAUAAUUGUGAAAAGUACUUUCGCAGAAGAAAGAUCCGUGUAAGGAUCUGCAAAUUAAUACGAGCAAAAGAUAGCGAGAGGAAGGAUGGUCAGCAGUCUGCGAAGCGCAACAUUUAGCUUCCGGAGAAAUAUCUAUUACCUUAAUGUGCUCUAAUACGCUUGAAUGUGUUCAUUGCAGAUUAAUUAUCUUAAUGCCAGCUUUCGUAGUGCCUCGCGUAACAUUUUAGGAAAAUUUGAUUACUGCGGAUAAGUCUAGGAAGCACAGGGUAUUUCAUGUAGAGCGUGAUCCACGCGUAGAUCUUAGAAAUUACAAGAGACGGAAAAAAUUAUCAAAGAUCAAAGUUAGACUUAUGAAUAUUAAUAUGCCCAAAGCGGAGCUAAUCUGCAGCAUUCAUCUUUUCAUUUAGAGCGCCAACUAAUUAAUUAAAGUUGAAUUUACCUUGAAUAGCGUUUGCGCAUAUGUGUUAACGAAAAGUUCACGUCGGAUAUCUCUGAUAAAGUACGAUGACUCCAGAUUAAUUCAAACGAUAUUUAAUCCUUUGGGGGCCAGUGAUAAUUAUUUGCAAUGUUCACUUUUCACAUGUAGGUAUAAGAAUGCAAACUUCGAAAGUAACGUUAUUACUUGCCCCGUUACCAUUCUAUUUAUUAUAAUACUUUUUUUAUAACGGUUGUUAUUUUUUAAAUAUGUUUUUAUCUAUUUUUAAGGGUAACGAUUACCCUUACAUUACAUUUUUAUAGUAAAAGCCAUUACACAUACAUUUUUGUAACUGUUAUCGGUUAUAAGAAAUUAAGCAAUGCGAUUUGUCGAAAUCUUAUGGAAAUAUAUGCAAUGGCCUUAACAGUGACAAACUUUAUUUUCACUUUGUAAACGUAUAAUACAUGCUCAUAAAUAAUGUUACAAUUAAUCAAAAUUGUUAAAUACAGAUUUCGUACUUAAAUUAGUUAAAUAAUAACUUAAACAAUUGGAUACCACUUUUUAAAAAAGUAUCAAAAUUUUAUAAAAAAGUAAUAAAAAAAGAAACAAAAUUAUUUCUUUCUAAGUAACAAUAAUAUGUUACUUUUAUAAAAUAAGAUUUCACAGCCAUAUAAAAAUGUUUCAAUAAAUUCAGGAUGUAUGCAGUUACUGAUGAGGUAUCACGUAAGUAAAAAGUUUUCGACAUAAUGUCAGAUAUACAUACAUAAAAUAAUCAAUUGUACCUUUAAUUCGUUAUACUUAUUUAUUUCAAUUUUUUAUUUUUGUUUUAUAAUGAAUAUUUUAAAGAAUAUUUUAGUGCAAACAGAAUUUAUUUUGUCAUUUUUAAGAUGUUGAAAACUUUGAAAUUUAGAUAUACGUUAUUAUUCCUUGGGUUCUUCUAUAGUGCUCCUUAUUAUCAAAAAAGUUAGACGC